rnacentral:tRNA from 1 species
GCAUUAGUCGAUGCCUCGAUAGCUCAGUGGGAGAGCUCCUGUAUAAGGUGAGAGAAGGCGCUUAGCAACAACAAACAGGUGGUCGCAGGUUCAAUCCUGCCCGAUGGCUA